CUUAAAUCUCCUACAGCAUUUUGCAUUACUGAAUUCAAAUCAGAGCACUGACCACCUCAUUUUUUUCCGAUUCCCAAGGUAGUGACUGAAGCAGUAUUUUGGUUGAAGUGUUUGGAGAACAAACUUCACUGUGAUACUUAGCAGCCUUUAUACCAGGACUGAACAGAAACUGAGGAAUCUUUUGCAACAGCAGGGAAGAAUAACUCCCUGCUUGGCAGUGAGUAUGUUCCCAGUGAAGCAAAGUUGAGCUCUGCAGCCACUGGGGGAAAAGGUGAAAGCCAAGCCUGGAUCUCUGCAAUGUCUGACACUCAGACUAACAACAUUACCCUGUGAUUAGACUACUUAAUGUAAAAUAUUGAUGACUGAAGAAAAGAUUUCGAAAGUGAAGAAAGCACUUGAGUCACCACCAAGAAAAGAAAAACAACCCAGGAGGAAAAGACCACCUACAACUGAUGAGGGGCCAGACACCUGCCUUUAAUUGAGUGCCUAAAGAAAACAGUAUAUGGCCACCCUUUAAUUCGUAAUGAGUUCUGACUUGCUUUGACAUAAGCUAUGUGAACUGCCAUGUGUGCUGUUAGUUGAAGCUGAGAAGGAAAUUCUUAGGCAGUGUCUCGGUGCUGGAGCGUGUUAUAUGUGUGGACCUGAAGCAUGGUCCAAAAUUUGAAAAACAGGAUAAACCCCAGCCUGGCUGAAUAUGAAGGGUAAAAAUUAUUUCUUGCGUAGCAGCAUAACAUUAAUGAGAACAGGCAAGAUGGUGGCAGAGAGACCUGUGUGGUAAGGGAUACACUGGACAAGUAUAUUAAAUCUAUAGAUUGAAGUGUAACGGUGUGAGCACCUUUGUCACAACACUGCUCAUUCUAUGUCUUUCUCCUCUUCCCUGAAAUUAAGGUGGGAAAAGAUAGAAAUGUUAUGAUCUAAUAUGGAAAAAGAUACUGCUUGCUUAUCUGCUUGGCAUUGAAACACAGAUGCAAGAAAAGGUCAGCCAUAGCCCUGAAUUUUUAUUUAUUUAUUUGUUUUUAACUCUGGCAGCCUCCCUUCAUCCGUUUCCUACAUCACUGUCUUUCUGAUGCUUCCUCCUGAAGAGCUUAUCUUAAAUCUUUCAUGGCCGAAAUCAUAGCCCGCUCUGCAUUCCUACCUUUCUGUCACUACUGGAAGUAUUACUGUCCUCUUACCCU
rnacentral:lncRNA from 1 species